UUGUCCUACGGGGCGCAGCAGUGAGGAAUAUUGGUCAAUGGGCGGUAGCCUGAACCAGCCAAGUAGCGUGAAGGAUGAAGGUUCUACGGAUUGUAAACUUCUUUUAUAAAGGAAUAAAGUGAGGCACGUGUGCCUUUUCGUAUGUACUUUAUGAAUAAGGAUCGGCUAACUCCGUGCCAGCAGCCGCGGUAAUACGGAGGAUCCGAGAGCUAUCCGGAUUUAUUGGGUUUAAAGGGAGCGUAGAUGGGGUGUUAAGUCAGUUGUGAAAGUUUGCGGCUCAACCGUAAAAUUGCAAUUGAUACUGG
rnacentral:rRNA from 1 species